GCCCCGAGGGGAUGCCUGAGGAUGAAUUCUCUGCUACAGCCUCUGGACUUGCUUUCUGCAGGAACUGGGACCCCAGCUGCUCACCAGGACUGCUGGUUGAGGCUUCAGUCACCACUGUAACACAGAGCACAAAGGCUGUGUCUGCUCCAGGUGACAACACCGCGCUGUGCAGGUACUCAGUGUCUCUGAACACACAGACAAGCAGGAGGAAAAGUUCGUGCAGCAGAAUCCAGAAUGGAAAACAAAGCCUGUUCAGCAAGAAGGGUGAUUGUGUCCGUGAAACAGCAGCUCACGAGCUCUAAGUGAUGUCCAGGUGUUCCAAAGACCGAUUACUUGUUGGUAGAGUGACCUUGCAAAUGGCGCUGACAUUUCAAGAGUCAGAAAUAGUUAACAAUUUGUCCAGAGUGUAACACGGAGUGAGAAGGGGGUUAUGAAACAGGGUGCUGCCUUUUUGUUGCAGAAUGUGGAAUAAAUUAAAAUUAAGGAAGGGUUUUUCUUUGGUGCUUGAUCUUUGUAUGCUUUCAAGCCACAUCAACAAGCAGGGAGAUUUAAUCCCUGGAACAAAUAGCACCUAACAAGCUCUAAGUGAUGUCUAAAUGUUGGAAGGACAAAUUGCUUGGAAUCGCCUUGCUAAGAUUUAGGGCUGGACGUGUUUUAAUGACCUCAGACCUCAGGGAGGCUGAGGAAGCUUGUAAAGAAGGAUGCACCACUGAUGGUGGACACAAGGCUGAAUUUAUCGACACAAGGACAUUUGGCAGAACCCACAAGAUAAGGAAGAAUGUGAUAAAGCCAACUCAGCAGCUGGGCUGAAAUCAGCUCUGAUUGGGUAGAAGGUAAUUCCAGCAGGGGCAGGUCGCAACCACUGACCCAUGGCCCAAGAAACCACUGACCCAAAAGAGGAGAAGGACUGAGCCUGGGACUAAUUAGCAUGAGAAGCGAGAGACUCAUUAACCAAUAGAAGAUAGAAUACUAAUUAAUACGAGAACUAGGUGACAUGUAGCCAGUGAACACGGAUGCCUUUGUUUGCUAAAAUGUAAACUAAAUAAAUCAAAUACCUUG